rnacentral:piRNA from 1 species
UUCCAGAGGAGUCGCCUGCAUGUGCUGCUU